rnacentral:tRNA from 1 species
GGUGAUGUGGCUCAGUGGUAGAGCACAUGUCUUAGAUGUGUGAGGGCCUGGAUUCAAUCCCCAGCACUGCCA